rnacentral:rRNA from 1 species
AAAUUGAAGAGUUUGAUCAUGGCUCAGAUUGAACGCUGGCGGCAGGCCUAACACAUGCAAGUCGAACGGUAACAGGAAGCAGCUUGCUGCUUCGCUGACGAGUGGCGGACGGGUGAGUAAUGUCUGGGAAACUGCCUGAUGGAGGGGGAUAACUACUGGAAACGGUGGCUAAUACCGCAUAACGUCGCAAGACCAAAGAGGGGGACCUUCGGGCCUCUUGCCAUCAGAUGUGCCCAGAUGGGAUUAGCUAGUUGGUGAGGUAACGGCUCACCAAGGCGACGAUCCCUAGCUGGUCUGAGAGGAUGACCAGCCACACUGGAACUGAGACACGGUCCAGACUCCUACGGGAGGCAGCAGUGGGGAAUAUUGCACAAUGGGCGCAAGCCUGAUGCAGCCAUGCCGCGUGUAUGAAGAAGGCCUUCGGGUUGUAAAGUACUUUCAGCGGGGAGGAAGGUGUUGUGGUUAAUAACCACAGCAAUUGACGUUACCCGCAGAAGAAGCACCGGCUAACUCCGUGCCAGCAGCCGCGGUAAUACGGAGGGUGCAAGCGUUAAUCGGAAUUACUGGGCGUAAAGCGCACGCAGGCGGUCUGUCAAGUCGGAUGUGAAAUCCCCGGGCUCAACCUGGGAACUGCAUUCGAAACUGGCAGGCUUGAGUCUUGUAGAGGGGGGUAGAAUUCCAGGUGUAGCGGUGAAAUGCGUAGAGAUCUGGAGGAAUACCGGUGGCGAAGGCGGCCCCCUGGACAAAGACUGACGCUCAGGUGCGAAAGCGUGGGGAGCAAACAGGAUUAGAUACCCUGGUAGUCCACGCCGUAAACGAUGUCUACUUGGAGGUUGUGCCCUUGAGGCGUGGCUUCCGGAGCUAACGCGUUAAGUAGACCGCCUGGGGAGUACGGCCGCAAGGUUAAAACUCAAAUGAAUUGACGGGGGCCCGCACAAGCGGUGGAGCAUGUGGUUUAAUUCGAUGCAACGCGAAGAACCUUACCUGGUCUUGACAUCCACAGAACUUUCCAGAGAUGGAUUGGUGCCUUCGGGAACUGUGAGACAGGUGCUGCAUGGCUGUCGUCAGCUCGUGUUGUGAAAUGUUGGGUUAAGUCCCGCAACGAGCGCAACCCUUAUCCUUUGUUGCCAGCGGUUAGGCCGGGAACUCAAAGGAGACUGCCAGUGAUAAACUGGAGGAAGGUGGGGAUGACGUCAAGUCAUCAUGGCCCUUACGACCAGGGCUACACACGUGCUACAAUGGCGCAUACAAAGAGAAGCGACCUCGCGAGAGCAAGCGGACCUCAUAAAGUGCGUCGUAGUCCGGAUUGGAGUCUGCAACUCGACUCCAUGAAGUCGGAAUCGCUAGUAAUCGUGGAUCAGAAUGCCACGGUGAAUACGUUCCCGGGCCUUGUACACACCGCCCGUCACACCAUGGGAGUGGGUUGCAAAAGAAGUAGAUAGCUUAACCUUCGGGAGGGCGCUUACCACUUUGUGAUUCAUGACUGGGGUGAAGUCGUAACAAGGUAACCGUAGGGGAACCUGCGGUUGGAUCACCUCCUUACCUUAAAGAA